rnacentral:rRNA from 1 species
AUGAGAAAAUCGUUGGCUCCCAAGCACAGAGGGCUGUCCACUUACGAAAAGGAAUGCUUGGCGAUACUUAUGGCCGUAGAGCAAUGGCGUCCAUACUUACACCAUGAUGAAUUUUUGAUACGGAAAGAUCAGCGUAGUCUCGUCCAUUUGGAUGAUCAGAGGCUAUCGACAGUAUGGCAGCAGAAGGCAUUUACCAAGCUUCUGGGGUUGUGUUACAAAAUAUGUUACCGCUGA